UGGGGAAUCUUGCGCAAUGGCCUAACGGCUGACGCAGCGACGCCGCGUGAGGGAUGAAGCUCCUCGGAGUGUAAACCUCUGUUGCCCGGGACGAAUAGCGGAUUUUUCCGACUUGACGGUACCGGGUGAGGAAGCACCGGCUAACUCCGUGCCAGCAGCCGCGGUAAUACGGGGGGUGCGAGCGUUGUCCGGAAUCACUGGGCGUAAAGGGCGCGUAGGUGGCUUUGUAAGUUUGCGGUGAAAGCCCGGGGCUCAACCCCGGGUCUGCCGUGGAUACUGCAAGGCUUGAGUACUGUAGAGGCAGGUAGAAUAUCGGGUGUAGCGGUGGAAUGCGUAGAGAUCCGAUAGAAGACCGGUGGCGAAGGCGGCCUGCUGGGCAGUAACUGACACUGAGGCGCGACAGCGUGGGGAGCAAACAG
rnacentral:rRNA from 1 species